rnacentral:tRNA from 2 species
GGGCCGGUGGCGGAAUGGCAGACGCAGGGGACUUAAAAUCCCCCGAGGCUUAACCCUCGUGUGGGUUCGACUCCCACCCGGCCCA